rnacentral:rRNA from 1 species
UACAGAGGUCUCAAGCGUUGUUCGGAUUCAUUGGGCGUAAAGGGUGCGUAGGUGGCGCCGUAAGUCGGGUGUGAAAUUUCGGAGCUUAACUCCGAAACUGCAUUCGAUACUGCGGUGCUUGAGGACUGGAGAGGAGACUGGAAUUCAUGGUGUAGCAGUGAAAUGCGUAGAGAUCAUGAGGAACACCGGUGGCGAAGGCGGUUCUCUGGGCAUGUCCUGACGCUGAGGAGCGAAAGUGUGGGGAGCGAACAGG